GUCGAACGCUGGCGGCGUGCCUAAUACAUGCAAGUCGAACGCAGUGGGGACGGGUGAGUAACACGUGGGUAACCUCCCGUCAGAGGGGAUAAACCUUGGAAACAGGUGCUAAACCGAUACUGAUGGAUGGACCCGCGGGGCAUUAGGUAGUUGGUGGGGUAAAGGCUCACCAAGGCCACGAUGCAUAGCCGACCUGAGAGGGUGAGCGGCCACACUGGGACUGAGACACGGCCCAGACUCCUACGGGAGGCAGCAGUAGGGAAUCUUCGGCAAUGGACGAAAGUCUGACCGAGCAACGCCGCGUGAGUGAAGAAGGUCUUCGGAUCGUAAAACUCUGUUGUCAGAGAAGCGGUAUCUAACCAGAAAGCCACGGCUAACUACGUGCCAGCAGCCGCGGUAAUAC
rnacentral:rRNA from 1 species